GGAAUAAUUUUCAUUAAAAUAAAACUUAAAAGUAAAAAAAUAGAAACCCCCAAAUCCCUAACACUACUCGAUCAGUACGUACUAACCUUCUUCUCCUCCGCCGGUACAGCUCAUCUCGACGACGGCUUGCACGACCAUCCUCUCUACGCUGCUGAGAUGCAGAUUUAAUCAAGCAAUUGUAGUUUUAUACAAAAUAUGUUCUCACUGAGACCAUGAAAGUUCUUACAACACAAAAUAUCUCAAUAGCAGCUUAGCAUUGAGGAAUUAGAAGCAAGUAAAGGAUGGACAACAAGGAAUGAGGAUCAUUUGAAAAUGAGAUAGCUGAAUAAUGGCUGAGUAUGCAUUCACUGACAGAACUGACCUCUUUGGAAUGCCAUGGUAUAAGCAUCUGAUAUUGGAGAGCUGACCUUUAAUAUGUUUUGACCAACUUAAGUGUGGGGAGCUUCUUUGUAGCUUGCCAUGCCUACAUCAGAUUUAUCAGACUAUACUGGUUUGUUGCAAUUGAAGCUGGAAUGACUCCAAAUAUUUUCUAUUGUCUCAAGAUUUUGAAGCCUCCGCAUAUCCACUUUUCCUAGCUUAGGAUUUGGACAUAAAGAAGGGCACAUACUUAUCCAUUUGUUUUUGCAAUUUUAACCCCUGUUUAGAAUUUUAUCCUAUUUUCUAUGUUAUUUUAUAGAGCAACCCCAAAUACUUGUUGGUAUGGCUUGUUAGAGGAUGAUAUGUGAUUUAAGUAGGCCAAAUAAUUAUUAGGCUUUCUUC